rnacentral:lncRNA from 1 species
GAAGUCAUGUAGUCAAUACCUUGUGAACCCCACUCUAUGUCUUGAACUAGCAGGCCAUCAUUUUCCCCACUUUGCAUUUCAUGAAACAUCGUGUUCUCAUCAUAGUCCAUAAAUAACUGAUCAUAAAUAUUGCAUUUCCUUAUAAAAUUAUGGACGGCGAAACAAGCAAUCACAAUGUCUCUUUGUAUUGGAAAAGAAAAGGGAGCCAUUUGCUUUAGGAUUGGGAAUCUCGCCUUUAGAACACCACAUUCCCGGUUUUGUUUUUAAGCUU